AACCGCCGUAUACCGAACGGUACGUACGGUGGUGGGAGAGGUCGGCGUAGGAACUAAUCCUACGCCUCCUACUCGAU
rnacentral:misc_RNA from 1 species